rnacentral:misc_RNA from 1 species
AGAUAAGUAAAAUAAAUAGUAGAAAUUACACAAUUAUUACAAGUACAUUCGUACAGCCGCGGUCAAAUAAAACGAAUUUCAACUUUUUUCUUUUCUCGAAAUUAUGCAGUUUCGUUGUCCAGACAACUGAAGUAAAUUAUCACUUUUUCUCCGAGGUAGCGGAUGGCCGACUUACAAAAUUUUUCGUAAUUAAUCAAUAUCCUUUUUAAAUCCAUUUUCGACCCCACGAUUCAAGAAAAUCCGAAAUAAUAUACCGAGCAACAUAUUAUCAAAAAAUCGUCAAAAUGCGCGAGUGUAUUUCUAUGCACGUGGGCCAAGCGGGCGUUCAAAUGGGCAAUGCGUGCUGGGAAUUGUAUUGCCUCGAACAUGGAAUCCAACCGGAUGGUACGAUGCCGUCAGACAAAGUGUCCGGUACAAACGAUUGUUUCAACACCUUUUUCAACGAAACCAGUUCCGGAAAGAUGGUACCGCGUGCUGUGAUGGUUGAUCUUGAACCUACUGUCGUUGAUGAAGUACGAAUAGGCUGCUACAAGAAACUGUAUCACCCGGAGCAAUUAAUCACUGGAAAGGAAGAUGCUGCGAACAAUUACGCCCGCGGCCAUUAUUCGAUCGGUAGAGAAGUGAUAGAUUCGGUGAUGGACAGAGUUCGAAGGCUGACAGAUCAAUGCACUGGACUUCAGGGAUUUUUUGUGUUCCAUUCGUUCGGAGGAGGAACCGGGUCGGGAUUCACUUCUUUGCUCAUGCAAAAGCUUUCGGACGAUUACGGGAAAAAGAGCAAAUUAGAAUUUGCAGUGUACCCGGCACCACAAGUAUCUACGGCGGUCGUGGAACCAUAUAACGCAAUCCUUACGACUCACACGACAAUAGGUCAUUCUGACUGUGCAUUUAUGGUGGAUAAUGAAGCAAUUUACGACAUAUGUAGACGGAAGCUUGGAAUUGAACGACCUUCGUACGCUAAUCUAAAUCGCCUAAUUAGUCAAGUGGUAUCUUCAAUUACCGCUUCCUUGAGAUUUGACGGCGCUUUGAACGUGGACUUGACCGAAUUUCAAACGAACUUAGUACCAUAUCCUAGAAUUCACUUUCCUCUUGCCACUUAUGCCCCGGUGGUGUCGGCAGACAAAGCUUUCCACGAGGGAAUGUCCGUCGCGGAAAUAACCUCCGAAUGUUUCGAGGCAUCGAAUCAAAUGGUCAAGUGCGAUCCACGCGAAGGUAAAUACAUGGCGUGUUGCUUGUUGUAUCGCGGAGACGUGGUACCGAAAGAUGUAAAUGCAGCAAUAGCCGCGAUGAAGAGGAAAAGUUGCAUACGCUUCGUUGAUUGGUGCCCGACUGGUUUUAAAGUCGGCAUCAAUUAUCAGCCACCUACCGUGGUUCCUGGUGGAGACCUUGCGAAGGUAUCCAUUUUAUUACAUAAGUUUCUUAUGUCUGAAUUUACGAUCGAAACUAACAAUGAAGUUUUAUGUCGACAGAAAUGUUUUAAGUCCUCAAUUGAUUUUCAUUCUUCAAAUGCAUAUCUUUGAAAUGCUUAUUUAUAAAAAAUUAUAUUCUUCAUAGUACCGAGGAUAUUUCAAGAUCAUCUUAUUUCUUUGAAAUAACUGCAUUGUCAUACUUUAUCUUUACUAUAAUGAUACUGUCAAGUGUAACCACGUAAUGAUAACCGAUAAACGAGCAAAGUAAUUACGUAUUGCGUGGAUUACACAAUCAAAGUUUUUGAGUACUUGUACCAUACAAGUCAGUAUUGCAUCACGGUUUGUAACACUGAAUAUCUAGACUCAUGUACACACUUGUAACUACAUUGAAAAAUGGGAAAGUACAGAACUUAAAAGAAGAAUGUUAAACGGGCUGUGUCGAUGCUAUCGAAUACUACGGCCAUCGAAGAAGCUUGGGCGAAAUUGAAUUACAAGUUUGAUCUCAUGUUUC